rnacentral:lncRNA from 1 species
AUAACCUAGCCGCAACCGCAAAAUCCUCCCUUGUCGUUGCCCCCAUCCAUGUCCACCUCGACCCGAUCACCGCUCCCGCCAGCAGACCCCGAGGCAGAGAGAUCACCGGCCCAGGUUUAUUUCCCCUUCAAUACCAUCCCCUACCUUGCCGCCAUCACCAAGAGUUAAGUUUGACUGAGGACGCCCGGUGCCAGCAAUCGCCGGAGAAAGACGGGCACGAGAAGGAGAAGCCGCUGGCCCGCUCCGCAGCGGCGACGCUCCUGCGAACCUCGCGAACCCAGGUGCAAAUAACCAUCCUUGAACCCUUAAAUUAUUAAUCCUCGAGUUGGAAGCCCAGUUUCACCUUCCAUGUCGUGUUUGAUUUUUGUAUCGUUGCAGGGAAGAAGAUGUGCCGCUUGGAAUCUGUUCCGUCCAUCCUCUACAGGUCAGUUUCUCUACCCCUUCUGUACAUCCCCUAUUUUUGAUGGAUUCACUUACUUGAUCUGAUCUCUAUUUUGGGGGAAGAGGAGAUCAGAGGAUGAGCACCAGAUGAUCCGACUACAGAAACUGAGAGAAAUCAGAGACUUGACAGCCGUGAUUUAUUGCUUCUUAUAUCACGCAGGCAUUAGGGCUCUCCCAAUCUCAUCCUAGAGGAAUAGGACACCUUGCAUGACCGUGAGCACCGCUGCUCAUCGCAGCUUGUCAGAUUAGGCUGGUUCAAGCAGUGUCUUAGGCAUGCUACUAUCCAAGGCGGUCUUCGCGCUUCCACCCUACAUCCACGCUAUCCACCAUGUCUCUCCCUAGAUGUGUGGGGAGGAGCAAGCAGGAGGGAAGGAGGAGCACGCAUGACUCCUCUGUCCUGUAUGUAUUUUCAUUUAUGAUAUAUCCAAAACAAAUUACUAUAGAUUAGUUCCCACAGCUAUUUAUUAGAUUGGUGCUUAUAUGAAAAAGAUUGAAACACCUCGUUUUAACUUGAUUGGUUCUCAAAGCCUUUCAUAUAGAUUGAAACAAUGUGUCAGAUGGAAGGAUAAUCUAAUGUUGUGCUAUCAUGUUUCGAAUUGUA